rnacentral:tRNA from 3 species
GUGCCUGUAGCUCAGUGGAUAGAGCGAUUGUCUACGGAACAAUAGGCCGGGAGUUCGAAUCUCUCCAGGCACACCA